AUUAAAUCUAAUAAUAGUGAUGGAUCAAAAUGAAGUAAAAGACAGUGCAUUUUCCAGUAGGUGGUAUUGACACACACAGUCCUUGAUCAUGACUUUCAUUCCACAUAAGAGUCACCGGAUGAAGACGUCUUCUGCACGGGGGAGUUUUGUUGAGCGCCCUGAAGCUCGGUCUCAACAUUAACACGUAUCGUUGCAGUACGGCUUUCAAAGCAUAAAAAACAGAUCUUUCAUAUCAGCAAGAAGAAAAAAGAUUAAUUGAUUCACGGAUUUAUAGGGUUACUGUUUGCUUCCGUGCGCCUAUAUCUCCACGUUACAGCGAGUUGCAGAAGACCGAAGUUAGAGGCCACCGGUACUAAUGAACGUUAACUAUCUAGCAUGCUCCUAACACCUGUGUGUAAUAACGGAAGCUCGCCAGAAACGCGUCCGCUGCAACUGUGAUAAAGCCGGUUAAGACAGUGCAGUAAGUGUAUAUUUUUCACUUGUGAAAUUAUUUUAAUGUGAUAUGAAAGUUAAGGGCUUUAUGUUUCGAGAACAGUACCGCAAUUGAUAAUCGAUUCACGUUGAGAUGUAGUAUGACUGUCAGAGUCAAGUCUACCUCUGAAAACAACAUACAAGAUCCUUGGACCUUAAGGAAUAAUGGCAGGCUCCUUAAGAGAACAUCUUAGACUAAAACACACUGAGAUCAAACAGGGUAGAGACUGAAAUUAUAAUUAGUGGUUUGAAGUGUAAUUGACUUUUCCUUAGACCAUUACAGACUAAUUACAGUCAUCCAAUUGUUUCUCUGACUGAAUUAGCUACAGUGGAUUGCUUUGAAUAGCUACUGUACAUUUAAAUGACAUUGAUACAUAGUAUUAUUAUAAAUGAAUCUGCUACACAGGUCAGGGUCAAUCCCUGACGGUGAUAGACAUGACAUAAUUACUGUUGUGUAUAGUUGAAUUGCUGUAUCAAUGUCUAUUGUCCCUUUUGGUUAUACUUUGUGAAAAAUGUAAAAGAUCGAUAAAAAUAAAAAAUACAGAUAUUAGCCACAAGCUGAUAAUAAAAAAGCAAAUUAUACUAAAAUAAUAUAAUUUUAUUAAGCUUUGUAAGUUGCAUUCAAUUGCCUUCAAAUACACCACACUCAAUCAUCAACAAUCUCCAACCCAACCGUAGUUCAUUCUUUUACAACCCAUAUGAGUUAGGCAGAAAAUUCUUGUCAACUUACGUCAAGGUAUCCUAUAUAGCUCUUACAUACUGAUAUCCUAUAUAGCUCUUACAGGGGGCUGGGGGUACACCGUUUCUCUGUUCACUAAAGUGGGACGAAAAGCUUCAGGAGAAUUACAUGGAAAAAGUAGUUAUUAAUGAUUCUGGUAACAGAAGUACAAUAAGUCUUGAGUUAAACACUAAAAAGUAAACAUCCAAAUGUACUUGAUGCUAAAGUCUCUCUGAGGGGCAGGCAUCGUGCCAACACAUCUCAGCUACAUAAAAGGGGCUUGUUCAAAUCAAAAGCUUUUUAUAAACAUGGUUUUUAUUUUAUAUGCCUGCGUCUCAAACGGUACCUUGUUCCCUAUGCAUUGCAUUACCUUUGACCCGGGCCCUUAGGAACACUACUUCCCAGAGUCCCCACCGGACCCAUAUCACAACUCUCCGUCCCCCUGGCAACAGAGAAUAGUAAAAGUCAAUAUGUUUAAAAAAUAAUAAUAAUAAUUAAAAGGUCGAACUUUGAAAAAAAAAACAUUUUUUAAAGGUGACGCUGAAUCUCCCAGCAUUCCAAAGUAGUGCAUCACAUAGGGAAUAUAGUUCCAUAGUUAAGAGGAUCCAGAGAGAUGUGUUACUAAUAUCAAUGUAGCAGAAAACGGCAACAGAGCACAGUAAGGAGUAGAACACCAGGAUUAUUAACAAUAUUCAAAGUUGGCUAGAAUAGAUACAUGUAGUCUAGUUUGUUGUUGUUGUUGUUGAUUAAAUUCAAUAUCACGAUACAUUUAAAAAAAAAAAAAGGUUAAGAGUAGAUCAUUUGAAUGGUGACUAUAACAGUUAUACCAGCUUGGUAACGCAUUGACUCACUGUUAACCUGUGUAUUAAGACAAGCCAGCGGCCUCAGUUCUCUAUGUCAGGAUGGGGGGGUGGGGGGGGUCAACAUGCAUCAUAUACACGCACCGUUUAAAAAUGGUGGAACCAUGCAGAAAGUUGAGUUGAAACGGAUAGUAGUAAUGUUUGAUCGUCAAGGAAACCACAUUGUUCGCUGACGCAUGGCGGUUCGACACACAUCAGGGUUGGUUGAAGAACUUUUUAGCAUAUUUUUUGAUUUGUUUUUAAAUAACUGUUUAUUUGUUGAAAUGUUUAUUUUUUUAUAAUAGCUAAAGUAUAACAUAUAGGCUAGGUAAAUAAAGAUGCAGGGGUUUUAAUCUACUACAGUAAUUAAUCAUUUUAACAACGUCUGCAGAUCUGAACACAAUAAGGAACCAUUGUGAUCAGAGCCCUAUAUAUAACCUUGUAUAUACGUUAAUAUACGUAUAGGACCUAAUGGUAUAUAGCAUACAGUGCCUUCAGCAAGAAUUCACACCCCUAGACUUUCUCCACAUUUUGUUUUGUGACCAAGUGGGAUUAAAAUGGAUUUUAAUUGUGAUUUUUUUUUUUUUGUCAACUAUCUACACAAAAUACUCUAAUGUCAAAGUGGAAGAAAAAUUAUAACAAUUGUAAAAAAAGAAAUAUGGAAAAGAAAACACUAAUAUAUAUUGAUUAGAUUUAUGUAUUCAACCCCCUGAGGCAAUACAUGUUAUAAAUCACUUCUGGCAGUGAUCACACCGGUGUGUCUUUCUGGGUACGUCUCUAAGAGUGAUUACACCGGUGUGUCUUUCUGGGUACGUCUCUAAGAGUGAUUACACCGGUGAGUCUUUCUGGGUACGUCUCUAAGAGUGAUUACACCGGUGAGUCUUUCUGGGUACGUCUCUAAGAGUGAUUACACCGGUGUGUCUUUCUGGGUACGUCUCUAAGAGUGAUUACACCGGUGUGUCUUUCUGGGUACGUCUCUAAGAGUGAUUACACCGGUGUGUCUUUCUGGGUACGUCUCUAAGAGCUUUGGUUACCUGGAUUGUACAAUAUUGGCACAUUAUUCUUUUUUAAAUUCUUCAAGUUUGGUCAAGUUGGUUGUUGAUCAUUGCUAGACAGACAUUUGUAUGUCUUGCCAUAGAUUUCCGAGUCAAUUUAAACUAAAACUGUAACAUUGGCUUCCUUCUUUUCACUCUGUCAAUUAUGUUCGUAUUGUGGAGUAACUACAAUGUUGUUGAUCCAUCCUCAGUUUUCUCCUGUCACAGCUAUUAAACUCUGUUUUAAAGUCACCAUUGGCCUCAUGGCGAAAUCCCUGAGCGGUUUCCUUUCUCUCCGGCAACUGAGUUAGGAAGGACGCCUGUAUCUUUGCAGUGACUGGGUAUAAAGUGUAAUUCACCAGGCUCAAAGGGAUAUUCAAUGUCUCCAUUUUUUUAUGACCCCUUUUCCAAUCGGUGCCCUUCUUUGCGAUGCAUUGAAAAACCUCCCUGGUUUUUGUGGUUGAAUAUGUGUUUGAAAUUCACUGCUCGACUGAGGGACCUUACCAGUGGAGGACGGCUCAUAAUAAUGGCUGAAACGGAGCCAAUGGAAUGGCAUCAAACGCCUGGAAACCAUGGAAACCAUGUAUUUGAGACCAUUCCAGGUAUUUCGCUCCAUCCAUUACCACAAGCCUGUGCCACCAACCUCCUGUGGACCUUACAGAUAAUUGAAUGUGUGGGGUACAGAGAUGAGGUAUUCGUAAAAAAAAUAACGAAUCAUGAAAAACAUUAUUUCACAGAGUGAGUCCAUGCAACUUAUUUAGGCUUGCCAUAACAAAGGGGUUGAAUACUUAUAGACUCAAGACAGCUUUUCAUUUUUAAGAAAUUUGUAAACAUUAAAAAUAAAAAUAAAACAUAAUUCCACUUUGACAUAAUGGGGUAAUGUGUGUAAGCCAGAGACAAAACAUUUCAAUUUAAUCUAUUUUAAAUUCAGGCUGAAACAACAAAAUGUGGGAAAAGUCAAGUGAUGUGAAUACUUCCUGAAGGCAGUACAUUUAUAUAUCCUACUGGCUCUGACUGGGAUGACCAUAGGAGGACUGGGAUGACCAUGGGAGGACUGGGAUGACCCUUGGAGGACUGGGAUGACCAUGGGAGGACUGGGAUGACCAUGGGAGGACUGGGAUGACCAUGGGAGGACUGGGAUGACCAUGGGAUGACUGGGAUGACCAUGGGAUGACUGGGAUGACUGGGAUGACCAUGGGAGGACUGGGAUGACCAUGGGAUGACUGGGAUGACCAUGGGAGGACUGGGAUGACUGGGAUGACCAUGGGAGGACCAAGGGAGGACUGGGAGGACCAAGGGAGGACUGGGAUGACCAUGGGAUGACCAUGGGAGGACCAUGGGAGGACCAUGGGAUGACCAUGGGAGGACCAUGGGAGCACUGGGAUGACCAUGGGAGGACUGGGAUGGCUCUGGGAGGACUGUGUGUAUAUACCAAAUGGCACCCUAUUCUUUAUAGUGCACUACUAUAGUUGCCAUGGUGCCCUAGUAGCAGCAUAAGCAGAGAGCUCCUGUACAUUUUGUAAAUAUUUGUAUAGCAUUUUUCCUUACAAACAUUUAUGAAUUAACUAUUGAUUUAGCUUAUUAUUGUAGUCUGAAUAGUUUGAAUCCAGCACAUUUUCAAGACUGAGGUUGGCGGUUAGUUUUUGGCUAGAUAAUGUUAGCUGGCUAGCAUGCAAUGUUUUGAUUCAAUUAUGCCAACUGUCCGGAGGUUGAGGAUGGAGAGAAGCCUGAAUACAGAGGUGCACAGCCAUGACUGUAUGGAGGACUAAUGCCCCAUUCACAUUAACCGUAAGCAUUGGGCCUGAUGUCAUUCAUUUGAAUGGGGAGCGUCCACGACGGAGUGGAAUCGCAACGCCCCCUUGAGGUUAAUGGCUCCGCUGCGAGAUAAUCAAAGUAUGCGGUGUCUAUUUCCAAACUGCGUCUUCAGUUCCUCAAAGAACACGAAGUUACUAAACCACAGCCGAUGGGUUUAGUUUUUAUGAUGGUAAUGACGUUUGUUUUUAGGUGGAGUUCGCUAGCUACAGUAUAGCGUAUCUUUUAGCUAGCUAGCUGUGGUGGAAGCUAGCUUGAUUUAACAAGUUGAGGAAAAAUUUACUCAACAAAGCAUGUUUUAUUAUCAACUGAAACAAUAUGUUUCCCCUGUCUUGAAUGAAAAGGCCAUAUUUUACAAUCUCCCGAAAUCAAUGCAAUCCCUGAUGAGACACUAGGCUCUCCAUCUAGUCUUGCGUUGUGAAAUCCUCCCUAUUCACUCCAUCCUGUAGCGGAACAAUAUUGAAAUGAAGUACGGCGUAAUGAAAUACGUCACGAUGUAAACAGGGCACAAAUGGUAACUCCUGGAUUACUAUUGAAGCGUGUUGUGCUUUCUUGCGCCUCGUGACUGAAAUAGCAUCACCCAAGUGGCCGCUGUAUUUUGGUGGCAGUAGCUAGCUAGCUAGUCCAACUAACUUAAUUUGACUGAGUCCUACUACGAAGCCACAGACAACAUGGAUGGCAAGACACCAUGAUGACAAUGUGCUGCCUUCUCUCCUCUUAACCACCACCUGCCUCCGCUGACCUCACUCAAGGCAUGAACUUUCUCAACCUUCAAUCUCUUGACCAUCAAUCUACUCAUGAUGAUGAUUGAUGUUUUUUGUUGUUUCUCUACAGCACUAACAUUUCUGUAUGUAAUUGAAUACCUAUUAUUGUUGAAUCAAUUAUUAUUACUUUCAAUCUAUAGUUGCCGUGGCGCCCAAUGGCAGCCUAGGCAGAGAGCUCAUGUAAAUUCUGUACAUAUUUAAUCGGUUUUAUGUAAAUAUAUAUAUAUAUAUUUUUUUUUUUACAAACGUUUAGUUUUUUUCAAUAACUACAUGAGUGCAGAUCAAGUCUUGAUAUCAUUAAUUGGAUUCCUUCCCAUAAAAGCAUUAAAAUGCUAGCUAGCAGGUGUUUUAUUCAGAUUGAACCUACUGGUUUUGGGUUGUUUUCCCAACUAGCUCUCAGUCUCGCAUCACAAGUAGACGUUUAUCCAUUCUUUCUGAAAAGUCCAAUUCUGAAGCGUUUAAGGUUAACUUUAGCUCCGGAUGGAAAGGGUAAAGAUUUAGGGUAGGCUUAAAACUAAUAUAUCAAAAAACAACUUUCUAUCGCUGGAUUCGACCUUGCAACCUUUUGAAUCAAGUUUACGCCCAUCCCCACCCUAGCAAAACGAAACCUACUUGAAGGUAACAGCGCUCACUGUUGCCCCUGGUGGUCAGUUUCCCUGUCAUCUCUCGACGUCCUCAGACAUAGAUGGACGUCGAAUACUGACUUGAAUAAAGGGUGACAUGGCUGGUUUUCCACCAACGGUGACCCAAGAGGAGUUACACUUUUGGGUUGUUUUCCACCAACAGUGACCCAAGAGGAGGACUGUAGGCUAUGCACGCCGAGUUGUCAGUGGGACGGCUUGUGGACUGUCCUCUGAGGGAAGAUCAAACUUCAUCACAGAGCCCCAAUACAGAGGAAGAAGAUGCAGAUUACAGGGAUGCCUUGAUGACAUGGGACUCCCUACCUGCCCUUGGACAUGCUGACCAGAGUUACCAACACCUCCUCUGACCAGUCACCAACACCUCCACCUCCUCUGACCAGAGUCGCCACCACCUCCUCUGACCAGAGUCGCCACCACCUCCUCUGACCAGAGUCGCCACCACCUCCUCUGACCAGAGUCGCCACCACCUCCUCUGACCAGAGUCGCCAACACUUCCUCUGACCAGUCACCACCACCACCACCUCCUCUGACCAGUCACCACCACCACCUCCUCUGACCAGUCACCACCACCACCACCUCCUCUGACCAGUCACCACCACCACCACCUCCUCUGACCAGUCACCACCACCACCACCUCCUCUGACCAGUCACCACCACCACCUCCUCUGACCAGUCACCACCACCACCUCCUC
ensembl:lncRNA